UAGAACACUAUAUCUGGAACGGUUUGUGUUUCAAAUGAUUUAUCGCCGUAGGAUGGGACUGCGGCCUAUCAGUUUGUUGGUGAGGUAAUGGCCCACCAAGACUAUUACAGGUACGGGCUCUGAGAGGAGUAGCCCGGAGAUGGGUACUGAGACACGGACCCAGGCCCUAUGGGGCGCAGCAGGCGAGAAAACUUUGCAAUGUGCGAAAGCACGACAAGGUUAAUCCGAGUGGUUUCUGCUAAAGGAACCUUUUGUCGGUCCUAGAAACACCGAUGAAUAAGGGGUGGGCAAGUUCUGGUGUCAGCCGCCGCGGUAAAACCAGCACCUCAAGUGGUCAGGAUGAUUAUUGGGCCUAAAGCAUCCGUAGCCUGCUUUGUAAGUUUUCGGUUAAAUCUGUACGCUCAACGUACAGGCUGCCGGGAAUACUGCAAAGCUAGGGAGUGGGAGAGGUAGACGGUACUCGGUAGGAAGGGGUAAAAUCCUUUGAUCUAUUGAUGACCACCUGUGGCGAAGGCGGUCUACCAGAACACGUCCGACGGUGAGGGAUGAAAGCUGGGGGAGCAAACCGGAUUAGAUACCCGGGUAGUCCCAGCCGUAAACCAUGCAAACUCAGUGAUGCAUUGGCUUGAAGCCAAUGCAGUGCUGCAGGGAAGCCGUUAA
rnacentral:rRNA from 1 species